UGCAAAAUAGAAAACAAAAAAAAAGAUAAAAUCCUGUCAUUCAUGCAGCACGAAAAAUUUAGCCUAAUCAUCUCUUUAACCAAGAGACAUGCGAUGAAAAUUAGCCAAAAAGGGUUUGCCUCAUCAGAUUGAUAAAACAAACCGCAAAACUAAUACAAAAAACCUCCUUAGACAAAAAUGAAGCACAGAGUACUCGUCGUUAAAGAAAUCUAGAUUUAC
rnacentral:lncRNA from 1 species